ACCCAAUCUGCACAUGGGCCCCCGAAGUGUAUAAUUGCCAACAAAGAGAAAGGAUGGAAGGAAAAUCUAUUUUAAGACUGAUGAAAAUCUGUUUUCAGUAGAAUAUAUCAAUCAAUCAGUGGAAUCUUUGACACACCCUAGGCCCGUAACCAGAGUUUUGAAAAGGGGGCUUCGAAUUUUUCCAUCAACGAUAUGGCGAAGGGGAAAGGUCCGGGAGGAGGUGUCCCCCACCUGCAUUCGGGGAUUUGGAGGUCCUCUCUUGGAAAAUGUUGAAAAUGAAACGUAAAAUCCUGCAUUCUGGCGACUUUUUAUCGGUCUUUAGAAACUAAAGUUAUAGAUAAUUUUUAUAUGAAAUUUCACUUUCAUUGACCAUACUUUGUGACUGAUCGACAGGAAUAUGAUUAAAUUACAUACUUGUA